GACGAACGCUGGCGGCGUGCUUAACACAUGCAAGUCGAACGGAAAGGCCCUGCUUUUGUGGGGUGCUCGAUUGGCGAACGGGUGAGUAACGCGUGAGUAACCUGCCCUUGACUUUGGGAUAACUUCAGGAAACUGGGGCUAAUACCGGAUAGGAGCUCCUGCUGCAUGGUGGGGGUUGGAAAGUUUCGGCGGUUGGGGAUGGACUCGCGGCUUAUCAGCUUGUUGGUGGGGUAGUGGCUUACCAAGGCUUUGACGGGUAGCCGGCCUGAGAGGGUGACCGGCCACAUUGGGACUGAGAUACGGCCCAGUCGCCUACGGGCGGCAGCAGUGGGGAAUAUUGCACAAUGGGCGGAAGCCUGAGGCGGCAACGCCGCGUGCGGGAUGACGGGCUUCGGGUUGUAAACCGCUUUCGACUGUGACGAAGCGUGAGUGACGGUAAUGGGUAAGGAAGCACCGGCUAACUACGUG
rnacentral:rRNA from 1 species